rnacentral:rRNA from 1 species
AGCGAACGCUAGCGGCAGGCUUAACACAUGCAAGUCGAGCGCCAGGUUUCGGCCUGGAGCGGCGAACGGGUGAGUAACACGUAGGUCACGUACCCUAUGGUGGGGAAUACCCCGGGGAAACUCGGAUCAAUGCCCCAUAUGUCCGAAAGGAUGAAAGCGCUUCGGCGCGCCAGAGGAUCGGCCUACGGCCCAUUAUUUAAUCCUAGUUGGUGAGGUAACGGCUCACCAAGGGUACGCUGGGUAGCUGGUCUGAGAGGACGAGCCGCCACACUGGAACUGAGACACGGUCCAGACUCCUACGGGAGGCAGCAGUGGGGAAUAUUGGACAAUGGGCGAAAGCCUGAUCCAGCCAUGCCGCGUGAGUGAUGAAGGCCUUCGGGUUGUAAAGCUCUGUCGUGGGGGAAGAAGUUCUGACGGUACCCCACAAGAAAGCACCGGCUAACUCCGUGCCAGCCGCCGCCGUAA